CAUUAAUAAUAGAUCUCAUAGGAGGUUACGCUGCUGCUACAAAAUGCUAAAGGGACAUUAGUAACCCUCCUAUUCUCCAAGCUUUUGUGUUUCCUGAAUGCCACCAGUGGAAGAAGAAAAUGCAGAGUGGGCACACUUGCUUCAUAAAGCCCUGGUCUGGAAAUGUCACAUGUGGAUGCUGCCAGACAGACUGUCAGAUUGUAUCAGUGUAACUUCUCAUCCUCUGAGCCAAUAUGGAAGAAAAAGAUGAAAAGAAAGGGUGGUGCUCUCAUUCUUGGACUAGGACUGGAUUGAGUGCCAAUUCUUGUUGGCAGUUGUGGAGACAUUUUUUUAAACAUAUCUAAGAAAAUAUUAUAACUAUAAAAUGUUCUUCUGUAUGUAGCAGAAAAGUAACAUGAAAUUUUCUUUCUUUAGUACCAGCUUAGGCAUCAGUAGAGUAACAAAAAGAUAAGAGAUAACAAGUAUGCCCCAAUUCAAAAGUAAAGUGCUAGACUAUCAACAGAGAACUCUAAGAGGAAAUGGCUUAAAGUUGAUUUUGUAACACUUAACCAGCAGCCAGCUUAAGAGAAGUGUAGUAGAUUAUAGGUUCUCUCUCUCUCUCUCUCUCUCUCUCUCUCUUAAGUGGUAAGGAAGGAAAAAAAAACAAAAUAACAAAAAUAAAAAACUCAAUUUCCUUGGAGCUAAGCAAAGCCAUGUGACUAAUGCUAACCAAUAUGCUGUGAGAGAAAUUGGCAUGAAACACUUCUAGGCUGAAGCAGGGGAAAGCAGUGGUAAGUACCUUAUGUGCUUUUCCUAGCACUUGAGGAUCCUGCAAGUUCUAGAUGGUACAGCUACAUCAUGGAGGAGCUUCUAUCACACUGGGCCCCUGAGUGUCUGAGAAACAGAAUACCUCCACAUAAACUUAAAUGAACUAAUAGUGUAAGUGAAAAAUAGAUCAUUACAUUAAGUUUUAAGAAGUUACUGCAGCAUAAACUUGUCCAUCCUGAUCAAUACUGGGUAAAAUAGAUGAGAUUGAAGUAACUAAGAAAGUAAAUCCCUUUAAGAAAAUUGGUUGAUCUACUCAUCAGGAGACAGCAUGAUGAUCACCCUGACUUUGACUGAGACAGAGGAGGUUCACAGCUGCUAAAUGAAAGCAUGACUUAAAAAAAAAAAAAAAAGAAA